rnacentral:lncRNA from 1 species
AAAAUUCCCAAAAAUUCUUCUCCUUCCCAAAAAUCUGUUGCUUCUAAAAAAUCCGGGAAAUCCCCAAAAAUCCAGGAAAUUCCUAAAAAUCUGGGAUUCCUCAAAAAUUCUCUGUUCCCAAAAAUUCCUCUCCUUCCCAAAAAUCCGGAAAAUUCCCAAAAAUCUGCUGCUUCCCAAAAAUUCAGUUCCCAAAAAUCCAUUCAUUCCCGGAAAUCCGGGAAAUUCCCAAAAAUCUGCUGCUUCCCAAAAAUUCCCCAUUCCCUGUUCCUGUUUCUCAUUCCCAUUUUUCCCAUCCCCCAUUAUCCCAUUUUCCCCUUCCUAAUUCCCAUUUUUCCCAUUAUCCCCAUUCCCAUUUUUCCCAUUCCCAUUNGCAGCAGAAGCCGGCGGAGGCCGAGCCGGGCGCGGGGGAUUCCGGGAAGCAGUUGGUUCCCUGCACGGUCCAGCCCCUUUUCCUGGUGGAUUCCAGCGCCGUCGACGUCGGAUCCGGGGAUCUUCCCAUCUUUUUCGAGCUGGGGGAGGGGCCCUGCUUCCCGGACGAGUAUCCCGAGGAAUAUCCCGAGGAAUAUCCCGAGGAAUAUCCCGAGGAAUAUCCCGAGGAUCCCGCGCUGCUCCCGCGGCCGCCCACGCCCCGCGACCCGGCCGUCUCCUAAAACAAAAAAAUCCGGGAUCGAGGACAAGGGAUUGGAUCCCCGGGAAAAAAACAAAUCCUGGGGAAAAAAAAAAAGGAUUCCCAGGAAAAGAAAAAAAUCCCGGAAAAAAAAUCCCGGGAAACAAAAAAAUCCCGGGAAAAAAAGGAUUCCCGGGAAAAGAAAGGAUUUGGGGAAAAAAAGGAUUCCCGGGAAAAGGGAAGGAAUCUUCGCACAAAAUCCCGGAGGCGCCGCUCUCCCGGCUCGGAGCGGAAUUCUGGGGGAUCCCGGGGGAUCUUGGAGCGUUCCUGGGGAUCUUGGAGAGUCACCAGGGAUUCCGGAGGGUUCCGGGAAAUCUUGGAGGUUUCUGGAAUGUUCUGGGGCAUUCCAGAGGAUCCCAGGAAGUCCUGGAGGAUCCCAGAGGAUCCCAGAAUGUCACGAGGGAUUCCAGAGGAUCCCAGAAAAUCCUGGAGGAUCCCGGAGGAUCCCAGAAAAUUCUGGAGGAUUCCAGAGGAUUCCAGAAAAUUCUGGAGGAUUCCAGAGGAUCCCAGAAAAUCCUGGAGGAUCCCAGAGGAUCCCAGAAAAUUCUGGAGGAUUCCAGAGGAUUCCAGAAAAUUCUGGAGGGUCCUGGAGGAUUCCAGAGGAUCCCAGAAAAUCCCAGAGGAUCCCAGAGCAUCACAAGAAAUUCCAGAGGAUUCCUGGAAAUCCUAGAGGAUCCCAGAAAAUUCCAGAGGGUCCCAGAGGAUUCCAGAACGUCCUGGAAAACUCCAGAAGAUCCCAGAAAAUCCUGGAUGGUCCCAGAGGAUCCCUCGGUUCCUGAGGCGUUCCCAAAGUUCCCAGAUUCCCAGGAAAAGCGGGAUCUGCCCAAAUCCCGGGGUAUCCCAGAAAAUCCGGCGGGAUCCCGAAAUCCACGGGAAGCGGAAACCCCGGGAAUUCCGGAGGGAUCCCGGAAUUCCAUCCCGGAAUUCCACAGCGUCCCAAACCCGGCCAGCGC